rnacentral:lncRNA from 1 species
UCGUAUAAAAGCAGCAUCUCUGUCUUGUAAACGCACUUUUUGGCCAUACAAGAAAAUUUGUGCAGCGCCAUGAAAACGCUGGGUGUAUUGGUAUGCCUGAUGAUGGCAGCAUAUGCAGUGACAGCAUCGCCUCACGAUCGUGAGCGCAGCGAGCGCGACGAAUCUGAGUUCGGAAGGCACCAUGGCCGCCAUCAUGGACACCACCGUUUUAAUCACACCUGCAAUGGAACUGAAGCUACCUCUACGGCGCAGCCCCAAGCGACGACUGUGAGUGCCGGAGCAAUCACGAAUUCAACAACUCAGGCCAGUACGAGUGGAGCGCUCUCAACGACCACCGCCACGGUGUCCACUACAUAAUGUCCUCAAGUGGAUGCUAUGGCAAGCUGUAUGAAGCCCUGUGUUUCCCACUCAGUUAGCCAAAAAUUAUGUGUUUUUGAAAGGGUUGUAUUCUCUCCCGGGGAAGGCGGAUAAUAAAUAGCCUGGAAAUUCU